GACGAACGCUGGCGGCGUGCUUAACACAUGCAAGUCGAACGGAAAGGCCCUGCUUUUGUGGGGUGCUCGAGUGGCGAACGGGUGAGUAACACGUGAGUAACCUGCCCUUGACUUUGGGAUAACUUCAGGAAACUGGGGCUAAUACCGGAUAGGAGCUCCUGCUGCAUGGUGGGGGUUGGAAAGUUUCGGCGGUUGGGGAUGGACUCGCGGCUUAUCAGCUUGUUGGUGGGGUAGUGGCUUACCAAGGCUUGGACGGGUAGCCGGCCUGAGAGGGUGACCGGCCACAUUGGGACUGAGAUACGGCCCAGACUCCUACGGGAGGCAGCAGUGGGGAAUAUUGCACAAUGGGCGGAAGCCUGAUGCAGCAACGCCGCGUGCGGGAUGACGGCCUUCAGGUUGUAAACCGCUUUCGCCUGUGACGAAGCGUGAGUGACGGUAAUGGGUAAAGAAGCACCGGCUAACUACGUG
rnacentral:rRNA from 1 species